GAUAGGGAAUACAGAACUUUUAGCUAGGCACUAGAGUGACAUCAGUGGGAAUGGCAAAAUAAAGAUCUCUAAAAAUCUAUUUCUCCAUAAAAGUAAUGAGAACACAGGCAAAAAUUGUCAACAUGUUUUUCAGAAUGCUGGAUAUAAAUCAAAGACUUGGAAUAAUCCAAGAAGCAUUUAUCCAAGAAAAGUUGCUGAAUCAAGGGCCAUGUGAAGGCUUUCUCUGAAAAAGCUUGUCUAAUCCCACAGCUCCAGUUACCAAAUCUGUGCUGAUUUUUCUAGAACUUAGUCUCCAGCCUAAGUCUUUCUCUGAAGCUCCAGCACCUUAUACCCAAUGGCCUCCUGAACAACUCCCCUUGGAUAUUCUGCAGGUAGCGGGCUCCUGGAAGGGAAUCAAGUAGAGCAGACCAGAAUCUAAGACCAACGCAAGCCUGGCCAACCCACGUGCAGCACACAGACCAGUGAGAGAAAAAAAGUAUCUGUCAUUGUAAAUCACUGAUGGUUGGGUCUUGUUUGUUAUAGAACAUUUUUGCAGCAAAACCUGACCAAUAGAAUCAUUGAGAAACUAACUGUUCCUAUUCACGCCUACCAUGAGCAAUCAUACAGACUUGACAAUUUGCACUCUAGGUGCCAGUUAGGUGGGCCCCAUCUUUCCAGUCACCAAUCAGAUGGAGCAAAGUCUGUUUAAGAGAACAACUAGCUAAGGGUCACCUGGGUGGCUCAGUUAGUUAAGUGUCCGACUCUUCACCUCU